rnacentral:rRNA from 1 species
GACGAACGCUGGCGGCGUGCCUAAUACAUGCAAGUCGAGCGGACCAUUCCUUCGGGAAUGGUUAGCGGCGGACGGGUGAGUAACACGUAGGCAACCUGCCUGUAAGACUGGGAUAACUACCGGAAACGGUAGCUAAGACCGGAUAACUGGUUUCUUCACCUGAAGAGAUCAUGAAACACGGAGCAAUCUGUGGCUUACAGAUGGGCCUGCGGCGCAUUAGCUAGUUGGUAGGGUAACGGCCUACCAAGGCGACGAUGCGUAGCCGAACUGAGAGGGUGAUCGGCCACACUGGGACUGCGACACGGCCCAGACUCCUGCGGGAGGCAGCAGUAGGGAAUCUUCCGCAAUGGACGCAAGUAUGACGGAGCAACGCCGCGUGAGUGAUGAAGGUUUUCGGAUCGUAAAGCUCUGUUGCCAGGGAAGAAUGCCCAGGAGAGUAACUGCUCCUGGGGUGACGGUACCUGAGAAGAAAGCCCCGGCUAACUACGUGCCAGCAGCCGCGGUAACAC